rnacentral:rRNA from 1 species
GUGGGGAAUAUUGGACAAUGGGCGAAAGCCUGAUCCAGCCAUGCCGCGUGUGUGAAGAAGGUCUUCGGAUUGUAAAGCACUUUAAGUUGGGAGGAAGGGCAGUAAGUUAAUACCUUGCUGUUUUGACGUUACCAACAGAAUAAGCACCGGCUAACUUCGUGCCAGCAGCCGCGGUAAUACGAAGGGUGCAAGCGUUAAUCGGAAUUACUGGGCGUAAAGCGCGCGUAGGUGGUUCAGCAAGUUGAAGGUGAAAUCCCCGGGCUCAACCUGGGAACUGCCUCCAAAACUGCAUGACUAGAGUACGGUAGAGGGUAGUGGAAUUUCCUGUGUAGCGGUGAAAUGCGUAGAUAUAGGAAGGAACACCAGUGGCGAAGGCGACUACCUGGACUGAUACUGACACUGAGGUGCGAAAGCGUGGGGAGCAAACAGGAUUAGAAACCCCGGUAGUCC